rnacentral:tRNA from 1 species
AAGAAGUUAGUUAAUCUAUAACAUAAGGUUGUCAACUUUAAAUUACUACAAAUUUUAGUACUUCUUA